CUUAUAUCGUCUACUCUAUGCGUUACGUAUCACAGUGCUAUAGAUAACCGUGCAUAUGCCGGUUGUCAGGCGUCCCUUCCUUUCUCACGCAGAAAUAUAACCUACAUCACUCAUAUUAGCCUAUCUCUACCUGCACAACUGGAUUAUUAUGCCAUUGUCCUGACGAAAGACGUACCGUUCUCUGUGGACAAUCUACAUACCUGCAUGGUAACGUACAAACUCAUAUGGUUCAUAUACGACGAACCAUGUUGGCGACGCGGUUCGAAUUCAAUGGAUAAACAGAUUCCCUUCUCGUGGCGCCACUUACGCUUUUCGGGAUUUGGUUGAGCUCGUGUCAGCCGGCUGGGAUGCCGAUGGACCAAAAUAGGGUUCUUACAGGAGAUAAUAUUUCAAGCAUACCACCGAAGUUCCCGUCAUUUGCGCUUGGCGAUAACCUCGAUCCCAUACCAUCAACUUGUUCCUCUUCUCUAACCUGGAAGAAUCCGAGGCUGACCCAGAGCGAUGUAUCGUUUUCUGGCCAAAUGUGCAGCUGCGAAAUCUGGUGUAUGAUUGUGAUCCAUACGUACACGUGGCUUCUUGCAAUCAAUUGUAGUUAUCAAACUUCCUCG